rnacentral:rRNA from 1 species
GACGUAGGGGGCAAGCGUUAUUCGGAAUUAUUGGGCGUAAAGCGCGUGUAGGCGGCUUGUUAUGUCGGGUGUGAAAGCCCUCAGCUUAACUGAGGAAGUGCGCCCGAAACUGGCGAGCUUGAGUGCCGGAGAGGAUAGCGGAACACCCGGUGUAGAGGUGAAAUUCGUAGAUAUCGGGUAGAACACCAGUGGCGAAGGCGGCUAUCUGGACGGACACUGACGCUGAGACGCGAAAGCGUGGGGAGCAAACAGG